rnacentral:miRNA from 1 species
GAGGAGGAGGAGGAGGAGCAUGUGUCUGUCAUGCUCCCUGCGGUCCUGUGCUGGGAAUUGUGGGAACCGCAGGGAGCAUGACAGACACAUGCUCCUCCUCCUCCUCC